UACAGAGACUGCAAGCGUUAUUCGGAUUCACUGGGCGUAAAGGGUGCGCAGGCGGUUGGGUGUGUCAGGUGUGAAAUCCCGAGGCUUAACCUCGGAACUGCGUCUGAAACUACUCGACUAGAGUACUGGAGAGGGAAACGGAAUUCACGGUGUAGCAGUGAAAUGCGUAGAUAUCGUGAGGAACACCAGAGGCGAAGGCGGUUUCCUGGACAGUUACUGACGCUCAGGCACGAAAGCAUGGGGAGCAAAAGGG
rnacentral:rRNA from 1 species